rnacentral:lncRNA from 1 species
UUUUUCUUUUAUUUUUGUCUCAACAAACAGAGCUUUAUGUUUUGGUAAGAUUCAAUUUGUUAUUAUUAACAUUUUCUAGUUAAUACUCUUCAAGUCUUGCCUAAGGAAAUUUUGCCCAUUCCAAGAUCAUGAAAAUAUUCUUCCUUUUUUUUUCUAGAAGCUUUAUAGCUUUUACUUUUGUGAUUAGGUCUGUGAUCUAUCUCAAAUUAAUUUUUGUGCAUAUUGUGAGGUAGGAGUUGAAAAUCAUUUUUCCCCAUAUGAUUAUCUAGUUGUUCCAGAGUAAUUUGUUGAAAAGAUUCCUUUACCUGCUGAAUUCCUUGGUGCCUUUGUAAACAGUCAACUAAUAGCAUAUAUAUGGGUCUGUUUGUUUCCUGUUUUUUAUUUGUCUAUCCUAUUGUGCACUAUCCAGAUUACAAUGGUUUUAUGAUAGGUUUUCAUAUCAGGUAGUGUACAUCUUCCAUGUUCUUUUUCAAGAUCAUUUCGAUGUUUCACAUGAAUGAUUUAUUUCUUAUCUUAUUCCUUGUCCAUAUAAUUUUUACAGUCUUAUUAAUUUCUACACAAAUGCUCACUUGGAUUGUGAUUACAAUAGCAAUGCAUCCACAGAUCAAUGGAGAGUUGAAAUCUGUACUAGUUUGCUAGGCUAUCAUAGCAAAAAAAAACAAAAACAAAAACAAAAAAACCCACAGACGGGUGACCUCAACAAGUUAAUUUUCUCACAGUUCUGAAGGUCGGGAGCCCAAGAUCGAAGUGUCCACAAGUUUGUUUUCUUCUGAAGCCUCUCUUGUUGGCUUGCAGAUGGCUGCCUCCUCAUUAUGUCUUCAAAUGAUUGCCUCUGGGUUUGUGUGUGUCUGUGUCCUAAUUUUUUUAUUAUAAGUACACCACUCAUAUUAGAUUAUGGCCCACCCUAUGAUUUCAUUUGUCUUCAUUACCUCUCUAAAUGCUCUAUCUUUAAAUACAGUCACAUUCUGAGGUCCAUGGUGUUCAGAUUUCAAUAUACGAACAUAACAUCUUGACAAUAUUAAAACUUUUAGUCCUUGAACAUGUCGUUUCUUUCCAUUUAUUUAUCUUUAAUUUUGUUGUUUUGUAGUUCUCAGUGUAGGUCUUGCACAUACAGUGGUAAAUUUAUAUGUAAAUGUUUGCAUUUAAUAUUUCAGAUGCUAUUAUUAGUAGCAUUUAAAAAAUUUAUUUCUUAAUUGCUAGUAUAUAGAAAUCAAAUUUUUGUAUGUUGAUCUUAUAAACUGACACUAAACUCACUUAUUCUUGUAGCCUUUUUGGUAUGUAGAUUCCUUAGGAUUUUCUACAUGCUGUUUAUGAAUAAAAAAAUUAUAUUUUUGUUUACAGUCUGAAUGGUUUAUUUCUUUUUCUUGCCUUGCCAAACUUGAGAGGAUCUCUUGUACAAGGUGGAAUAGUAGUGGUGAGAAGAGACAUUCUUGUCUAGUUGCUGACCUUUUGGGGGAAAGGAUUAAGUUUUUCACCAUUCAAUAGCUGUAUGUUUUUUACAGAUGUCCUCUAUCAGCUUGGGGAAUCUCCUAUUACUGUUUAUUGAUUUGAAUUAUGUCAACUUAAGUUUUUUGUAUCUAUUGAGGUGAUCAUUUGUCUUUUCUCCUUUAUUCUCUUAGUAUGAUGAAUUGAGUUGAUUCAUCUUUGAGCGUGUUAAACCAAAUUUACAUUCCUGGCAUAAAUCCCACUUGACCAUGUGGUAUUACUCUUUUCAAAUACUACUAGAUUUCAUUUAGUAAUAUUUCAUGAGAAUUAUUGGCCUGUAAUUUUUUCCUCGUAAUGUCUUUUUCAGUAAAACAAGCUGAGAAGUGUUCCUUCGUGUUCUAUUUUCUAAAAAGUUUUCUGUAAGAUUGAUCAUGUUUAUUUUAAAAACGUUUGAUAGAAUAUACAAGUAAAGCCAUUUGAAAGUGUUUUAAAUUAUGGAUCCUAGCUCUUUAGCAGAUAUAGGGCUAUUUAUAUUUUCUGUUUCUUCUUGUUUCAGAUUCAGCAAGCUUUAUCUAUUAAGAAACCUGGCCAUUUUAUGUAUGCUGUCAAAUGUAGUGGCAAAAGUUUUCACAAUAUCCCUUUAGUAUCUUUUAAGUAUAUAUAAAACCUAUAAUGUCUCUUCUUUUUUUAGGAUACUGGCUAUUUGAGUUUUAUCUCUCCUUUUAAGAAAUAUAACUAUCAACUUUUUGAGCAAUAUUAGAUUUACUGAAAAAUAGAGUAGUAAGUACAGAGUUCCUAUAUACCCCUCUCCCCAGUUCCUCCCCUAUUAUUAACAUCUUGUGUUAAUAUCAUUCAUUUGUUAAAAGAAUGAGCCAAUAUUGAUGUAUUAUCAUUGACUUUAAAAGCCUAUAGUUUACAUUACGCUUCACUCUAUUUUUGCAAAUUCUGUGGGGUUUGACUAAUGAGUAAUAACAUGUAUCCACCCUUACAGUAUCAUAAAGAGUAGUUUCACUGCCCUAAGAAUCCUUUGCUCUACCUAUUCAUCACACCCUCCCUCCAAACCCCUGGCAACCACUGACCUUUCUACUGUCUUUAUAGUUUUACCUUUUCCAGAAUGUCAUGUAGUUGGAAUGUACAGUGUGUAGCCUUUUCAGAUUGGUUUCUUCCGCUAAGUAAUAUACAUUAUGUUUCCUCUGUGUCUUUUUGUAGCUUGAUAGCUCAUUGCUUUCUUUUUUAAAAAUAUAUUUCUAGGGGCUUAUCAAUUUUAUUAAUCUUUUCAAAGAAAAAGCUGUGGUGUUGUCCUACUUUAUAUUUCACUAUGAUUAGAAAGCACACUCUGUAUAGUCCUGUUUCUUCAAAACAAAAGUACGGAGACUUGAUUUGGUUCAUAUGGUUCGUUUUGAUGAAAUGUAAUAUGUAUUCCCCUAGCCGUAUUACUUUUCUCUCUACUUGUUCUAUCAAUUAUUGAGAGAAGAGCACUGAAAUUUCCAACUGUAAUCAUGUGUUUAUCUAUUUCUCCUUUUAGUGCAGGUUUUGCUCCAUGUAUUUUAAAGCUCUGUUAGAUACAUACUCAUUGAAUAUUGUUAUGUCUUUUAAUGAAUUGAUGCCAUUUAUCAUUACCAAAUGAAUUCUUUUAUUUCCAGUAACAUCCCUUGUUUUGAAUUCCAUUUUAUUUGAUAUAAAUACAAUCACACCAGCUUUUGCAUGAUUAUAUUUGCAUGGUACAUCUUCUUCCACCCUUUAAAUCUGUAUCUUUAUAUUUCGACUGUGUUUCUCAUAGUUGUAACUAUGUUUUCCCUUCAUCCAGUUUGACAAUCUCUGACUUUAAAUUGUUGUGUGUAUCCACUUACAUUUAAGGCAAUGACUCCUAUUGCUGCCAUUCUGAUAUAUAUUUUCUGGUUGUCCCCUCAUUUUUUUUCCUUCUGUUUUUACUUCUUUUGGAUGAAUCAAUAUAUUUCUUAUUACAUUUUGUCCCCACUAUUAACUUUUAGCUAAAGUAGGCUUUGUUAUAUUUAUUUUUUAGUAGUUGCUCAGGAAUUACAGUUUGUCUCCUUAACAUGUCACAGUCUAUCUUAAGUUGUUAUACUACUUCAUGUUUAAUAUGAGAGCCUUAGGACAGUAUAUGUCUACUUAUUUCCCUCCCUUCUUUGUAUAACUGUUGUUAAAAUGCAACAUGUAUGUCUUUUUAAAAGUUUUUUAUUAUUAUUAUAUUAUAUCUACACCCAAUGUGGGGCUCAAACUCAUGAUCCUGAGAUGAAGAGUCACAUGCUCUUCUCACCGAGUCAGCCAGGCACCCCAAUAUGUGAUAUCUUAUUAAUAUAUUAUUAACCCCACAGUUACCUUAUUUUUAUCUUUUAAAGAAGUUAAAGAAAGAAAAUAAUCUUAAUUUCCCCACAGUUUUUACCAUUUUCUGUAUUCUUCACUUCUUUCUAUAGAUCUAUCUCUCCAUCUGACAUUAUUUUCCUUCAUCCUGAAGAAUUUUAAUUUUUCUCGUAGGGUGGAUUUGCUGGCUAUGAAUUCUCUCCACUUUUGUUUAUUUGAACCUAUUUUAUUUCAUCUUCCAUUUUUAAAGAUAUUUAUUUAUUUAUUUAUUUAUUUAUUUAUUUAUUUAUUUGAGAGAGAGAGCGAGAGCAUGCAUGUGUGAGAGCAUGACUGGGGCAGAGGGAGAAGGAGAAUCUCUCAAGUGGACUCAGUGCUACCUGAUGAGGGGCUUGAUCUCUGACUCUGAGGUCAUGACCUGAGCCAAAACCAAGAGUCAGACCCUCAACCAACUGAGCCAUCUAGGGGGCCCCUCAUCUUCAAUUUUGAAAUAUAUUUUCAUCAGAUAUAGAAUUCUUAACUAAGAGAUUUAAUUUUCUCUCAGCAAUUUACUGAUAUGAUUCAUUGUCCUCUGGCUUGGAUUAUUUCUGAUUAGAAGUCAGAAAUCAUUGUUGAUCUCCUAUAAUGUGUCUUUUUUCCUCUGAAUACUUAAAACAUUUUCUUUCUUUUUUUUUUUUUCUAUUUCUUGCAAUUUGACUACAAUGUGUUAUGGCAUAAUUUUCUGUUUUUCUUAUCUUUUUACUUUCCUGCUUGCGUUUGGUUGAGGUUCUUAAAUCCAUGGGCUGAUGAUUUUCAUCAAACUUGCAAGAAA